rnacentral:rRNA from 1 species
AGAGUUUGAUCAUGGCUCAGGACGAACGCUGGCGGCGUGCCUAAUGCAUGCAAGUCGAACGCACUCGACCUUCGGGUCACAUGAGUGAGUGGCGAACGGGUGAGUAACACGUGAGAAACCUGCCCCGAAGUUUGGAAUAACUCAGGGAAACCUGUGCUAAUACCAGAUGCCCUCUGACUGUCGAAUGGUGGACAGAGGAAAGAUUUAUCGCUUCGGGAGGGUCUCGCGGCCUAUCAGCUUGUUGGUGAGGUAACGGCUCACCAAGGCAAUGACGGGUAGCUAGUCUGAGAGGACGAAUAGCCACACUGGGACUGAGACACGGCCCAGACUCCUACGGGAGGCAGCAGCAGGGAAUCUUGCACAAUGGACGAAAGUCUGAUGCAGCGACGCCGCGUGGGGGAUGAAGGCCCUAGGGUCGUAAACCCCUUUCAGCAGGGACGAAAAUGACGGUACCUGCAGAAGAAGCUCCGGCCAACUACGUGCCAGCAGCCGCGGUAAGACGUAGGGGGCGAGCGUUGUCCGGAUUUAUUGGGCGUAAAGAGCUCGUAGGCGGUUGCGUAAGUCGGAUGUGAAAACUCAGGGCUCAACCCUGAGACGCCAUCCGAUACUGCGCUGACUUGAAUCCAGUAGGGGAGUGUGGAAUUCCUGGUGUAGCGGUGAAAUGUACAGAUAUCAGGAGGAACACCUAUGGCGAAGGCAGCACUCUGGGCUGGUAUUGACGCUGAGGAGCGAAAGCAUGGGUAGCAAACAGGAUUAGAUACCCUAGUAGUCC